GCUGGGAUAGCUCAGUCGGCAGAGCAUGAGACUCUUCAUCUCAGGGUCGUGGGUUCGAGCCCCACAUUCCUGCA
rnacentral:tRNA from 1 species